rnacentral:lncRNA from 1 species
UGUGAGCUCCAGAGAAAGGACUUUGGUCUGUAAGGCUGUUCUUUGGUGGAAGAUAUGGGGGCGAAGAUUUGGGAUUUGAGAAGGUCCGAGGACCAGUUGGGACUGUUAGUGAAGGAGAGAAUUCCACCAAGGAAAAUUGGAAACUGGAAGAAGGGUCAGGCCAUAAUGAGCCCAUAAAAUUUGGAUCACAUGGUGAUGAAACGGUUCAAAAGGAAGGGAAUGGAGUUGCAGUACAAAACUUCCCUCAAGAUGCAGUUGAUGAGUGGCCUGCCCCUAAGCAGAUCCAUUCUUUUUAUUUCGUCAGCAACCGGACAUAUGAUGAUCCAAAGUUAAAGGCCAAAAUUGAGCAGGCUAAUGUACAAGUUCAGAAGAAGAAUCAGGCUCGAUCUUGAGUCCUUGAAGCAUUAAAUGCAAAAGAGGGAUUCACAUGUUGGGUCAUUCACUGCUCUCUCUCUCUCUCUCUCUCCUUCCUUCAGUCCGAGAGAUCUGAGUUAAUAGAGCAGAUUAAGGCUCUGAGAUCUGACAAGUGACAACCAGCAAAUUAGAAAAAUUG